rnacentral:rRNA from 1 species
UUUAUACUGUGAACUGCGAAUGGCUCAUUAAAUCAGUUAUCGUUUAUUUGAUAGUACCUUACUACAUGGAUACCUGUGGUAAUUCUAGAGCUAAUACAUGCUAAAAACCUCGACUUCGGAAGGGGUGUAUUUAUUAGAUAAAAAACCAACGCCCUUCGGGGCUCCUUGGUGAAUCAUAAUAACUAAGCGAAUCGCAUGGCCUUGCGCCGGCGAUGGUUCAUUCAAAUUUCUGCCCUAUCAACUUUCGAUGGUAGGAUAGUGGCCUACCAUGGUGGCAACGGGUAACGGGGAAUUAGGGUUCGAUUCCGGAGAGGGAGCCUGAGAAACGGCUACCACAUCCAAGGAAGGCAGCAGGCGCGCAAAUUACCCAAUCCCGACACGGGGAGGUAGUGACAAUAAAUACUGAUACGGGGCUCUUUUGGGUCUCGUAAUUGGAAUGAGUACAAUCUAAAUCCCUUAACGAGGAACAAUUGGAGGGCAAGUCUGGUGCCAGCAGCCGCGGUAAUUCCAGCUCCAAUAGCGUAUAUUAAAGUUGUUGCAGUUAAAAAGCUCGUAGUUGAACCUUGGGUCUGGCUGGCCGGUCCGCCUCACCGCGAGUACUGGUCCGGCUGGACCUUUCCUUCUGGGGAACCUCAUGGCCUUCACUGGCUGUGGGGGGAACCAGGACUUUUACUGUGAAAAAAUUAGAGUGUUCAAAGCAGGCCUUUGCUCGAAUACAUUAGCAUGGAAUAAUAGAAUAGGACGUGCGGUUCUAUUUUGUUGGUUUCUAGGACCGCCGUAAUGAUUAAUAGGGAUAGUCGGGGGCGUCAGUAUUCAGCUGUCAGAGGUGAAAUUCUUGGAUUUGCUGAAGACUAACUACUGCGAAAGCAUUCGCCAAGGAUGUUUUCAUUAAUCAGGGAACGAAAGUUAGGGGAUCGAAGACGAUCAGAUACCGUCGUAGUCUUAACCAUAAACUAUGCCGACUAGGGAUCGGGCGGUGUUUCUAUAAUGACCCGCUCGGCACCUUACGAGAAAUCAAAG